GACGAACGCUGGCGGCGUGCUUAACACAUGCAAGUCGAACGGAAAGGCCCUGCUUUUGUGGGGUGCUCGAGUGGCGAACGGGUGAGUAACACGUGAGUAACCUGCCCUUGCCUUUGGGAUAACUUCAGGAAACUGGGGCUAAUACCGGAUAGGAGCUCCUGCUGCAUGGUGGGGGUUGGAAAGUUUCGGCGGUUGGGGAUGGACUCGCGGCUUAUCAGCUUGUUGGUGGGGUAGUGGCUUACCAAGGCUUUGACGGGUAGCCGGCCUGAGAGGGUGACCGGCCACAUUGGGACUGAGAUACGGCCCAGACUCCUACGGGAGGCAGCAGUGGGGAAUAUUGCACAAUGGGCGGAAGCCUGAUGCAGCAACGCCGCGUGCGGGAUGACGGCCUUCGGGUUGGAAACCGCUUUCGCCUGUGACGAAGCGUGAGUGACGGUAAUGGGUAAAGAAGCACCGGCUAACUACGUG
rnacentral:rRNA from 1 species